CUUUUUCUACUAUCCUGG
rnacentral:siRNA from 1 species